rnacentral:lncRNA from 1 species
CUGACAAGACAGAAAGAGAGCUGGGUUGAGGUCGGGGCGGAUUCAGAGCCCACCGUGUCAGCAAAGACACAUAAGGAACUCGCCCUCCGGAAAGACGCGGGGGAAUUCUGGGAGUGCGCGGCCUUGGAGCGCGCACAUGCGCGGCAGCUCCCGCUGCUGAAUAGCUGAGAGGCGCACCCGGGCGGCCAGCUGGGCUCGGAGUGCAGCGGGGUUAGGAUGGACGAGGACGUGUUGCACCCUGAAGAGCCUCAUCAUCGGUGAGAGUGGGGUGGGCAAGUCCAGCCUGCUCUUGAGGUUCACAGAUGAUACCUUUGAUCCAGAACUUGCAGCAACAAUAGAUCCAUCUUCGGUUGUGAAUCCGGCCCGGAAUGCAGCCACCCCUUAGAGCAACCCCCCUUGCUGCUCGUGCCCUGCUGUGCUACUGCCUCAGUCACUUCCUGCUUGGUCAAGACCACAGCUGCUGAUGUCACAGCUGAGGCACAUCAGAAAGGCUGCCUGAUUCAAAGAAAGCUGCCGGAUAAAUCAUAGAGCACAGACACUUCUACCUCAUGCUCUUAUGGGACUUUAGGAACCAAACAUAAGCACCUAUGGAAAAUGCACGGCGGUCUUGAAAGGCUGUGGUCUUUAUCAGAAAAUAUCUGAAUGACUGUUUGUUAUGUCAGUCCUACUCUGCAGGCUUGCUAAGAUGAUGAUUGAAAGGGCUCUUGGUUUCUGCUUUGGAAUCUGGCAUUUAUGUUUUGAAGCGUUGUGAGCAAGCGAUGUGGCAGAUUGCAGGGUGAGGGGGACAAACCUGGGCCAGGAGCCAGGGGUUUCUCUACCCCCUUCCCUGACUUACAGCUGGAACUGGGCUCAGUGGUUUCAGCCUCAUUUGCUAAGAAGGUCUGGGUAUGUAAUCCUGGCUGCAUCUUAAAAUCCCUAGGAGCUUUUAAGACAUAUUGACACAUAAGCUCUAACUCACAUGAAACGAAAACACAUCUCUGGGGCUGGGCUGAGCAAAUGCAUUUUUUAAAAGGCCCCUCAGGUGAUUCUGUCUCAGAGAUGUUGAAAACCAGUGGGUUAGGAGCUCAGUCAUCCACUUUCAGAUCUGUGAUUAUGCCACUAUUAAAUACAGUUGGCUAUCACAUAGAUUUUAUGCUUUAGCUUGUUCUUUUUUCCUUUGCUAUACCAAAUAAAAUCUUCUGAGCUGUAGUUCCAGUCCUUAAAAUAAUGGUUGUUACCAUACUGAGGUUAAACAUUAGUGCAUUUGCUUAACAAGGACUUUAAAACUUAUCACACUGCCAUAAUUUUUAAUGGUUUCUAUAAUGAUUAAUUAAUAAGAAAAUCAAUAAUUGGAUUUUAAGCAGGAAACUAGGCAGGAAAGUUGAAAUUCAUAGACCAAUUCAAUGGAAAACAUUAAAAUGUAUUGGGAGAUGCCCAAUAUUCUA